rnacentral:rRNA from 1 species
UACAGAGGUCCCAAGCGUUGUUCGGAUUCACUGGGCGUAAAGGGUGCGUAGGUGGUUGGGUGAGUCUGAUGUGAAAUCUCCGGGCUCAACCCGGAAAUGGCAUUGGAUACUAUCCAGCUCGAGGAUCGGAGGGGGGACUGGAAUUCUUGGUGAAGCAGUGAAAUGCGUAGAUAUCAAGAGGAACACCAGUGGCGAAGGCGAGUCCCUGGACGAUUCCUGACACUGAGGCACGAAAGCUAGGGGAGCAAACAGG